rnacentral:rRNA from 1 species
UACGUAGGUGGCAAGCGUUGUCCGGAUUUACUGGGCGUAAAGAGUGUGUAGGUGGUGUCGUAAGUUUGGUGUGAAAUCUCCCGCUUAACUGGGAGGGUGCGCCGAAGACUGCGAUGCUGGAGUAUGGGAGAGGAAAGCGGAAUUCCUGGUGUAGCGGUGAAAUGCGUAGAUAUCAGGAGGAACACCUGCGGUGUAGACGGCUUUCUGGACCAUUACUGACACUGAGACACGAAAGCGUGGGGAGCAAACAGG